AGAGUUUGAUCCUGGCUCAGGAUGAACGCUAGCGGCAGGCCUAAUACAUGCAAGUCGAACGGCAGCACGGACUUCGGUUUGGUGGCGAGUGGCGCACGGGUGAGUAACGCGUAUGCAACCUACCCUUAACUGGGGGAUAGCCCGGAGAAAUUCGGAUUAAUACCCCAUAGUAUCACUAGAAGGCAUCUGAAGGUGAUUAAAGAUUUAUUGGUUAAGGAUGGGCAUGCGUGACAUUAGCUAGUUGGUGAGGUAACGGCUCACCAAGGCCACGAUGUCUAGGGGUUCUGAGAGGAUGAUCCCCCACACUGGUACUGAGAUACGGACCAGACUCCUACGGGAGGCAGCAGUAGGGAAUAUUGGUCAAUGGGCGAGAGCCUGAACCAGCCAUGCCGCGUGCAGGAAGACGGCCUUCUGGGUUGUAAACUGCUUUUAUCAGGGAACAAAAAGCCCAUGCGUGGGAAACUGAGUGUACCUGAAGAAUAAGCACCGGCUAACUCCGUGCCAGCAGCCGCGGUAAUACGGAGGGUGCAAGCGUUGUCCGGAUUUAUUGGGUUUAAAGGGUGCGUAGGCGGCUCUUUAAGUCAGUGGUGAAAUCCUACAGCUCAACUGUAGAACUGCCAUUGAUACUGGAGAGCUUGAGUACAGACGAGGUAGGCGGAAUUUAUGGUGUA
rnacentral:rRNA from 1 species